AAAAAUAAGGCUAGACUUGUACAACAAGCUAGAAAAGCUAUGUUCUAUAUUUUAUGUAAAGCGAGAAAGCUUAGUUUGCCAAUAGAUAUUUUGUUACAAUUAUUUGAUGCAAUUUUUGCACCUAUUUUGUUAUAUGGUGCAGAAGUAUGGGGUUAUGAAAAUAAUGACAUUAUUGAGUCUUUGCAUUUAGAAUUUUGCAAGUAUAUAUUAAAGGUUAAAAAAUGUACGCCAAACUAUAUUGUAUAUGGCGAACUUGGUAGAACACCAAUGUCUAUAAGUAUUAAAGCUAGAAUGGUUGGUUUUUGGCAGCGAAUUUUAAAUGGCAAAAAAAGAGAAAAUAUCUCGAACAUUGUAUGAUAUGUUGCAUGAACUGAAUGAAGGUGAUGUGUACCAUUCUAAAUGGUUAUUAUAUAUAAAAGAUAUUUUAAUUGAAUGUGGUUAUGGAAAUUAUUGGUAUGACCAAUCUGUAUUAAGAAAUAUAAGCCUGUCUAAAAAUGUAAAGCAAGUUCUUCAUGAAAAAUUUGUAGAAGGUUGGAAAUUACAAGUAUCUGACUCACCGAAGUGUAUUAAUUACCGUAUUUAUAAAUCUGAUUUUAACUUUGAGAAUUACCUCACUGUACUUCCACCUGACUUGAUGUAUAAUUUUAUUAAAUUUAGAUGCAUAAAUUGCCAAUUGAAGCUGGUAGAUUUUUUAGUAUCAAUAGAGCUGAAAGAAUUUGUGAUCUUUGUAAUAAGCAAGAGCUGGGUGAUGAAUUUCAUUAUAUAUUUAAUUGUAACUUUUUUACUCAAGAAAGACUCAAGUUUAU
rnacentral:lncRNA from 1 species